rnacentral:rRNA from 1 species
AUUGAACGCUGGCGGCAGGCCUAACACAUGCAAGUCGAGCGAGCGGCGGACGGGUGAGUAAUGUCUGGGAAACUGCCUGAUGGAGGGGGAUAACUACUGGAAACGGUAGCUAAUACCGCAUACCAUCAGAUGUGCCCAUAUGGGAUUAGCUAGUAGGUGGGGUAAUGGCUCACCUAGGCGACGAUCACUAGCUGGUCUGAGAGGAUGACCAGCCAAACUGGAACUGAGAGACGGUCCAGACUCCUACGGGAGGCAGCAGUGGGGAAUAGUGCACAAUGGGCGCAAGCCUGAGGCAGCGAUGCGGAGUGUGUGAAGAAGGCCUUCGGGUUGGAAAGUACUUUCAGCGGGGAGGCGUUACUCGCAGAAGAAGCACCGGCUAACUCCGGGCCAGCAGCCGCGGUAAUUC